AUGACGAGCUGCCAAACCACGGCCGGCCCCCCCAGCUCGCCUCGCCUCGAGCGUCACGAUUCCGCCGCGUUUGACAGCAUCCCCGCCCGCGUCCGCGCUCGGCCAGCGCGCAGCCGCCGCGGGAUGGGCGCGCACCGAGGGAUGCGAGGCCGAGGGAUUUGGGAGCGCUCGGCGCAGAACCUGAUUUCCGCGAGCUGCCCUCUCUGCGAAGAAACCACCCACAUAAUAAUGACCCUGGAGAGCAACGCAAAACCCAACUGGCUUCCACAGAAACUUCGCCAAAUUACUGGGCUCGCCUGAAGACGAGAAAACUGGCACGAGAUUCUGCGAGGGGGAGGAAAAAAAACCCCAAAAUAAAACGCGACAACUGCCCACAAAGGGCUUGGUGUUUUUUAAAGGCAGUGUCUAAAAGUCUCCGUCAGCGAGCUGCUGCAAAAUCCUUCAUUCCAAGUCUGCUAUCUCCAGGUGACCUUACAAGGCUUCAUUUUUAUCCUUCUUAGUCCGUUAUUUCAUUUUUCUUCCGGUUUACUCUUUCUUUUCUUAAUUUUUUCCUCCCUUUUUUCUUUCCUCCUUCCCUUUUUUCCUUUUUUCUUUCAUUAUUUCUUCCUUUCCCCCUCUCGAUUUCUUUCUUUCCCCUUUCUUCCACCUUUCUUUCUCUCGCUCUCUUCUCUUUUCCUCACCUCUAAGCUCCACUUUUUUUUUUUUUUCGGGUGAAAUUGCCGCUUAAACAGAUUCCCACCACCUUGAAUUUCUUCCAAUGCCUCCCUUCUGCAUCACCCCACCCUUUUUCUUCCCCCCCACCACCUCCUCCCCGGGCAGAAGGAGAUGGGGAUGAAAUAGGGGGGAAAAAAAAGGCAGCUUGACAAAUACAUUUCCUCAUUGCAAAAAAAGAAAUAAUAAUAAUAAUAAUAAUAAUAAUAAUAACAAAUGAAGAGAAACGUAUUAUUCCCUUACCUUUUGACGUCCAUUUCUGUGGCAUGAGUGCAACGUUUGGGGAAGGAGAGAUAAGCGUUUGCUUAUCUGUUGGCUGACAAAUAUUGUCCCAACCUGAGAGCCGUCGAUCGCCUCUCUGACUCGUGAGAGCUUCUUGCAUUUCUGUCACUUGCCCGGAAAACGGAGCAACUUCCCCCUCUGAAAAAACGAGAGCCUCCACUCCUCGUGCAGAAUCUCCUCUGCCCUUCCAUUAUUACUGAGAUCCCAAAGCGGCGGGCAAAAUUGGGAGUGGGAUUUUUUGGAGGGGGGGGAAAAAAAAAAUUGAAAAAAAAAAAUUGAAAAAAUUAUUAUGAUAAUUAAAAAAAAAAAAUUAAAAAUGGAUAUAACUCUGUUGCUACGCGCGCGGGAGCGGAGGUGGGUGCCUAUGGGUGCGUGUGGGUGCGCGUUCAGGCGGCCCCCCCCUCCCCUCUGCCCUGUUUUAGCCCUGCCGAGCUUAUACACAAAAGUAAAAAAAUGUAAAGAGGCGAGAGCCCUAUAGAGGACACUGAUCCGACCCAAGGUGCAGCGGACAGAAGAAUGGUGCAAUAUAACCACAUGGGAAAUAAUAAAAAGUUCAUGUUCACGGUUAGCAGUCCACAUGACCGGCUCUGGCCAAUCCAGAACCCAGCCACUCAUAAAGUUCUAUCACAAAGUUGUAAAUUUUCAUAAAACAACAAGGAAUUUAUUGCAUUUCUUCAUGACCGGUUUAACAGCAGUCUUUUUCUUAGCCGCCAUCUUUUUUUUUUUUUUUUUACCAAAAAAUAAAAGAAUAUGAAAAAAGGGGUUCGGGGAUUUUUUUUUUUUUCCGCCCCCACCCCACCCCUGGCUUGAUAUGGGGGGGUCGUUGGGAGAAAAAAUUGAAGAGCGCCUCAUAUUCGGAACAAUGAAACCCCCCCAGAAUAAAGAGCUGGAGGUUUGGGUUGCCUUUUAAAUGGGGGAAAGGCACAGUAAAACAGUGGGGUUCGCAGGGAUUUUGGACGCCUUUCCCUCUUUUCGGG
ensembl:lncRNA